AUGUUCGAUUUUGAAUUGAAUAAUAUCAUGAACACAUUGAGAUCGUAUGAUGAAACUUUGGUGUUGAUAUGGAUGUUUUCCGUUUGCGUUGAACAUUCGUUUGAGUUGAAUUUCGUAGAGCACCGACAUAUUAUCAAGUUUCUGUCCGAAUUUAUACCUUGCCGAAAUUUUGAUUCAAAACUCAUUUUUAAUCACUUUUGGACUUAA